rnacentral:rRNA from 1 species
AAUCAACGCUGGCGGCGUGCCUCAGACAUGCAGGUCGAACGAUUAAAGCUCUCUUCGGAGAGUGCAUAGAGUGGCGCACGGGUGAGUAACACGUAAGUAAUCUACCCUCGAGUGGGGAAUAACGUCCGGAAACGGGCGCUAAUACCGCAUAAUGCAGCGGCAUCAUAAGAUGACAGUUGUUAAAGAUUUAUCGCUUGAGGAGGAGCUUGCGGCAGAUUAGCUAGUUGGUAAGGUAACGGCUUACCAAGGCUACGAUCUGUAACCGGUCUUAGAGGACGGUCGGUCACACUGACACUGAAUAACGGGUCAGACUCCUACGGGAGGCAGCAGUCGGGAAUUUUGGGCAAUGGGCGAAAGCCUGACCCAGCAACGCCGCGUGAAGGAUGAAGUAUUUCGGUAUGUAAACUUCGAAAGAAUAGGAAGAAUUAAUGACGGUACUAUUUAUAAGGUCCGGCUAACUACGUGCCAGCAGCCGCAGUAACAC